rnacentral:rRNA from 1 species
CCUACGGGUGGCAGCAGUGGGGAAUAUUGCACAAUGGGGGAAACCCUGAUGCAGCGACGCCGCGUGAGUGAAGAAGUAUUUCGGUACGUAAAGCUCUAUCAGCAGGGAAGAAGAUGACGGUGCCUAACUAAGAAGCCCCGGCUAACUACGUGCCAGCAGCCGCGGUAAUACGUAGGGGGCAAGCGUUAUCCGGAUUUACUGGGUGUAAAGGGAGAGUAGACGGCAGUGCAAGUCUGGAGUGAAAUCCCAUGGCUUAACCAUGGAACUGCUUUGGAAACUGUGCAGCUGGAGUGCAGGAGAGGGAAGCGGAAUUCAUAGGGUAGCGGUGAAAUGCGUAGAUAUUAGGAGGAACACCGAUGGCGAAGGCAGCUUCCCAAGCUACGUCUGACGUUGAGGUACGAAAGCGUGGGGAGCAAACAGGAUUAGAUACCCCUGUAGUC